rnacentral:rRNA from 1 species
GGGGAAUAUUGCACAAUGGGCGCAAGCCUGAUGCAGCCAUGCCGCGUGUAUGAAGAAGGCCUUCGGGUUGUAAAGUACUUUCAGCGGGGAGGGAGGUGUUGUGGUUAAUAACCACAGCAAUUGACGAUACCCGCAGAAGAAGCACCGGCUAACCCCGUGCCAGCAGCCGCGGUAAUACGGAGGGUGCAAGCGUUAAUCGGAAUUACUGGGCGUAAAGCGUGCGUAGGGGGCUUUUUAAGUCGGAUGUGAAAUCCCCGAGCUUAACUUGGGAAUUGCAUUCGAUACUGGGAAGCUAGAGUAUGGGAGAGGAUGGUAGAAUUCCAGGUGUAGCGGUGAAAUGCGUAGAGAUCUGGAGGAAUACCGAUGGCGAAGGCAGCCAUCUGGCCUAAUACUGACGCUGAGGUACGAAAGCAUGGGGAGCAAACA